rnacentral:rRNA from 1 species
UGGAUCGUCGCGCGGAUCUUCAGAGAUUAGAGUUUGAUCAUGGCUCAGAUUGAACGCUGGCGGCAUGCCUUACACAUGCAAGUCGAACGGCAGCACGGGAGCAAUCCUGGUGGCGAGUGGCGAACGGGUGAGUAAUGUAUCGGAACGUACCUUUCAGUGGGGGAUAACGUAGCGAAAGUUACGCUAAUACCGCAUAUUCUGUGAGCAGGAAAGCAGGGGAUCGCAAGACCUUGCGCUGAUUGAGCGGCCGAUAUCAGAUUAGCUAGUUGGUGAGGUAAAGGCUCACCAAGGCGACGAUCUGUAGCGGGUCUGAGAGGAUGAUCCGCCACACUGGAACUGAGACACGGUCCAGACUCCUACGGGAGGCAGCAGUGGGGAAUUUUGGACAAUGGGCGCAAGCCUGAUCCAGCCAUGCCGCGUGAGUGAAGAAGGCCUUCGGGUUGUAAAGCUCUUUCAGCCGGGAAGAAAACGCAUGGGUUAAUACCCUGUGUGGAUGACGGUACCGGAAUAAGAAGCACCGGCUAACUACGUGCCAGCAGCCGCGGUAAUACGUAGGGUGCGAGCGUUAAUCGGAAUUACUGGGCGUAAAGCGUGCGCAGGCGGUUUGUUAAGAUAGGCGUGAAAUCUCCGGGCUCAACCUGGGAACUGCGUUUAUGACUGGCAGGCUAGAGUAUGGCAGAGGGGGGUGGAAUUCCACGUGUAGCAGUGAAAUGCGUAGAGAUGUGGAGGAACACCGAUGGCGAAGGCAGCCCCCUGGGCCAAUACUGACGCUCAUGCACGAAAGCGUGGGUAGCAAACAGGAUUAGAUACCCUGGUAGUCCACGCCCUAAACGAUGUCAACUAGGUGUUGGGAGGGUAAAACCUUUUAGUACCGGAGCUAACGCGUGAAGUUGACCGCCUGGGGAGUACGGCCGCAAGGUUAAAACUCAAAGGAAUUGACGGGGACCCGCACAAGCGGUGGAUGAUGUGGAUUAAUUCGAUGCAACGCGAAAAACCUUACCUACCCUUGACAUGUCCGGAAGCCCUUAGAGAUUUGGGUGUGCUCGAAAGAGAGCCGGAACACAGGUGCUU